rnacentral:rRNA from 1 species
AUCCUGGCUCAGGAUGAACGCUAGCGGCAGGCUUAAUACAUGCAAGUCGUGGGGCAGCAUGAGUAGCAAUACUUGAUGGCGACCGGCAAACGGGUGAGGAACACGUACACAACCUUCCUUCAAGCGGGGAAUAGCCCAGAGAAAUUUGGAUUAAUACCCCAUAAUAUAUUUGAUAAGGCAUCUUAUUAAUAUUAAAGCUUCGGCACUUGAUGAUGGGUGUGCGGCUGAUUAGAUAGUUGGCGGGGUAACGGCCCACCAAGUCUACGAUCAGUAGCUGAUGUGAGAGCAUGAUCAGCCACACGGGCACUGAGACACGGGCCCGACUCCUACGGGAGGUAGCAGUAAGGAAUAUUGGACAAUGGACGAAAGUCUGAUCCAGCCAUGCCGCGUGAAGGAUUAAGGUCCUCUGGAUUGUAAACUUCUUUUAUAUGGGACGAAAAAAGGGCAUUCUUGUUCACUUGACGGUACCAUAUGAAUAAGCACCGGCUAACUCCGUG